rnacentral:tRNA from 1 species
GGCCCAGAGGUGUUUCACGCAAGAGUGCAAAUCUUGAGAAGAGCCCCAAAAGGUGCUCCUGGGCUU